rnacentral:piRNA from 1 species
UUGCCCACGUUAAUGUAGCUCCAGGUA